rnacentral:rRNA from 1 species
GACGAACGCUGGCGGCGUGCUUAACACAUGCAAGUCGAACGAAGUGGCGAACGGGUGAGUAACGCGUAAUCAACCUGCCCUUCAGAGGGGGACAACAGUUGGAAACGACUGCUAAUACCGCAUACUGAAGGAGGGGAUUGCGUCUGAUUAGCUAGUUGGAGGGGUAACGGCCCACCAAGGCGAUGAUCAGUAGCCGGUAUGAGAGGAGGAACAGCCACAAUGGGACUGUGACACGGGCCAGAGUCGUACGGGAGGAAGCAGUGGUGAAUCUUCCGCAAUGGACGAAAGUCGGACGGAGCAACGCCGCGUGAGUGAUGACGGACUUCGGGGUGUAAAGCGCUGUUAAUCGGGACGCGGUACCGGAAUAGAAAGCCACGGCUAACUACGUGCCAGCCGCCGCGGUAAUAC